rnacentral:rRNA from 1 species
ACAGCUCAAAUUUGAAAUCUGGCCCUCGGGUCCGAGUUGUAAUUUGUAGAGGAUGCCUUUGGCGCGGUGCCUUCCGAGUUCCCUGGAACGGGACGCCUUAGAGGGUGAGAGCCCCGUACGGUUGGACACCAAGCCUCUGUAAGGCCCCUUCGACGAGUCGAGUAGUUUGGGAAUGCUGCUCUAAAUGGGAGGUAAAUUUCUUCUAAAGCUAAAUACUGGCCAGAGACCGAUAGCGCACAAGUAGAGUGAUCGAAAGAUGAAAAGCACUUUGAAAAGAGGGUUAAAUAGCACGUGAAAUUGUUGAAAGGGAAGCGUUUGCGACCAGACCUCUCCCCGGCGGAUCACCUGGUGUUCUUCACCGGGGCACUUCGCCGGGGCAGAGGCCAGCAUCGGUUUCCGCAGGGGGAUAAAAGCUCAGGGAACGUAGCUCCUUCGGGAGUGUUAUAGCCCUCCGCACAAUACCCCUGCGGGGACCGAGGACCGCGCCCCCGGGCAAGGAUGCUGGCGUAAUGGUCGCCAACGACCCGUCUUGAAACACGGACCAAGGAGUCGAACAUUUGUGCGAGUGUUUGGGUGUUAAACCCUCACGCGUAAUGAAAGUGAACGGAGGUGAGAGCCCCUAGGGGCGCAUCAUCGACCGAUCCUGAUGUCUUCGGAUGGAUUUGAGUAAGAGCACAACUGUUCGGACCCGAAAGAUGGUGAACUAUGCGUGGAUAGGGUGAAGCCAGAGGAAACUCUGGUGGAGGCUCGCAGCGGUUCUGACGUGCAAAUCGA